rnacentral:tRNA from 1 species
AGCGGGGUAGAGGAAUUGGUCAACUCAUCAGGCUCAUGACCUGAAGACUGCAGGUUCGAAUCCCGUCCCCGCCU